GCCCGGGUGGUGAAAUUGGUAGACGCAGGGGACUCAAAAUCCCCCGGAGAAAUCCGUGCCGGUUCGAUUCCGGCCCCGGGCA
rnacentral:tRNA from 1 species